GGGCGCCUGGGGGCUUCCCAGCCACAGGCCAUUCACGUCAACCUCCAGGCAUCCUCCGCGGCGGGCCGGACCGGGCCGGCGGAGGGGAGCGGAAGCCCACCGGGGCUGGCCCGCCGCUGACCCGCCGCCUCCGUCUGCCUCCUCCCGGGCUCUGGGCCCAGCGCGCCCAGAUGCCGGGCAGGACCCCUCCGCCCGCUGCUGGAACACCAAUAGCAGCGUUGGAGCCUCUGGGCCGGAGGAACUGGGGCCUCCACCGACACCUGCUUCUUCCCUCACCUCGCAGCCUUCCACACCUGUUGAUCUGACCUCUGCCCCGCUGCCGCCCAGGAGUAACCUAAGGCUUUUGGCCUGAUUCGAGCUCACUCCGUCUAAACCUCUAAAUGCGGUGCGAAAAAAUCCUGGGGAAUGUGCCAUGCAAAGCCUGGGCAUUUCAAGUGCUUUUCUGGAUUCGCAUCAACUCCUCUUUACAGGCAUCUUUAUCCGGAAUUCAGCUCGUCCCAAACCCCACGUGGUGUAGCUCUGCUUGUGUUUUUGAAUCCCGGGGCCUCUUUGAAUCAGAAGCCCUUUGUAUAGAGAUAAGUAUCCUUUAGGCCAGAAUCAGCCUCCAUUUUUUUCGCAGUCCCAUUUCCUACCCGUAAUACUUUCUUCUGAUUUUAAAGCCAUUUGAUAGAGAAGGGACAGGGAACAGAACCUUCGCCCCCCGCCUGAGCAGCUGGUAGACUAGAUAUCUUCCAAACAUUAUCUCAUUUACUUCCCUGGAGUUACAAAUAGGUAGAUUUCAUGUCCGUUGAGGGGUGAGAAAGCUGAAACUUUGAGACUUAAGAAUCCUGGCCGAGGUCAGCCUCCUCCGAAGCUUCAUCUCUUGCCACCACUUUCUGGUGCACACCUAGGACAGAUUUCAAUCCCUGAGAUCCCAGGAUGAAACCUAUGUUUGCCAAAUACCAGCUACUGUGCCAGAAGAGAUCAUGGAACCAGGUGUGGAAAGCUGCUUGAGAAGAGGAGCCAAAACAUCAUAGUUGAACCGUCCUGGAAUAGAAACUCGCCCUGAAUUCUUUCUUGUGUGAAAUCCAAGAGCCCUCUCUUGGGGUUGGAUCGGGACCCUGUUCCUGUAACAAGUCCACAAUGCCAGAGAAUUAAAGAGAACCACAAAGCUGAACCUCAAAAAGUUAGCCUGGCGAGGGGAGGAUGAUGAGAUUUCCCCUGUUGUCACAUAAACAAGGAAGUAAAGGGGGCCCCUUGUGCUCUCAGAACUCCAAGCAUGAAACGAUAGCAAAGGGAAAAACAGCUAAGUGUUUCCUGGCUGAAUUUUAUUUUGCUUUCAGUUUCUGCCAUUUCAGUUCCUGUUAUCGUGCUUUGAGGUGCACUGAACUGCAGCAAACCCAGGGGAUCCAAGGCUACGUUGAAAAGCCUUUGACCACAGUGCAGGGAGCAGAAGACAUUAAUGACGUGAUGUCGACACAGCCCGCACUCAGGAUCCUCCAGGAAAAGAACACAGAGAUAACCCCGGAUCGAUGGUACUUUUUGAAAAUGCUUUAUUGCAAAAGAGUGGCUAGGGUUUUACAAGGGCUAUGAAGAAACAUAUUAAGGUUAAUAAAGCUUUUUAUUGAGUGUUUA
rnacentral:lncRNA from 1 species